UACGUAGGGGGCUAGCGUUGUCCGGAUUUAUUGGGCGUAAAGAGCGUGUAGGCGGCCGGGUAAGUCCGGUGUGAAAACUCGAGGCUUAACCUCGAGAUGUCAUCGGAAACUAUUCGGCUAGAGUCCGGAAGAGGAGAGUGGAAUUCCCGGUGUAGCGGUGAAAUGCGUAGAGAUCGGGAGGAACAUCAGUGGCGAAGGCGGCCUUCUGGACCAGUACUGACGCUGAGGCA
rnacentral:rRNA from 1 species